AAGGAAUAUUGGUCAAUGGACGCAAGUCUGAACCAGCCAUGCCGCGUGAAGGAUGAAGGUCCUCUGGAUUGUAAACUUCUUUUAUCUGGGACGAAAACGGGAUUUUUAUCUCAAUUGACGGUACCAGAGGAAUAAGCACCGGCUAACUCCGUGCCAGCAGCCGCGGUAAUACGGAGGGUGCGAGCGUUAUCCGGAUUUACUGGGUUUAAAGGGUGCGUAGGUGGGCUUAUAAGUCAGUGGUGAAAUCUCCGAGCUUAACUUGGAAACUGCCGUUGAUACUAUAGGUCUUGAAUUAUCUGGAGGUAAGCAGAAUAUGUCAUGUAGCGGUGAAAUGCUUAGAUAUGACAUAGAACACCAAUUGCGAAGGCAGCUUACUACAUAUAAAUUGACGCUGAGGCACGAAAGCGUGGGGAUCAAACA
rnacentral:rRNA from 1 species